rnacentral:rRNA from 1 species
AGUGAACGCUGGCGGUAGGCCUAACACAUGCAAGUCGAACGGCAGCACAGUAAGAGCUUGCUCUUACGGGUGGCGAGUGGCGGACGGGUGAGGAAUACAUCGGAAUCUACUUUUUCGUGGGGGAUAACGUAGGGAAACUUACGCUAAUACCGCAUACGACCUACGGGUGAAAGCAGGGGAUCUUCGGACCUUGCGCGAUUGAAUGAGCCGAUGUCGGAUUAGCUAGUUGGCGGGGUAAAGGCCCACCAAGGCGACGAUCCGUAGCUGGUCUGAGAGGAUGAUCAGCCACACUGGAACUGAGACCCGGUCCAGACUCCUACGGGAGGCAGCAGUGGGGAAUAUUGGACAAUGGGCGCAAGCCUGAUCCAGCCAUACCGCGUGGGUGAAGAAGGCCUUCGGGUUGUAAAGCCCUUUUGUUGGGAAAGAAAAGCAGCAGGUUAAUACCCCGCUGUUCUGACGGUACCAAAAGAAUAAGCACCGGCUAACUUCGUG